rnacentral:rRNA from 1 species
CCUACGGGGGGCAGCAGUGAGGAAUCUUGGUCAAUGGGCGUAAGCCUGAACCAGCCAAGUCGCGUGAGGGAUGAAGGUUCUAUGGAUCGUAAACCUCUUUUAUAAGGGAGUAAAGUGUGGGACGUGUCCUAUUUUGUUUGUACCUUAUGAAUAAGGAUCGGCUAACUACGUGCCAGCAGCCGCGGUAAUACGGUGGAUCCGAGCGUUAUCCGGAUUUAUUGGGUUUAAAGGGUGCGUAGGCGGUCUUUUAAGUUAGCUGUGAAAGUCUGUGGCUCAACCGUAGAAUUGCCGUUGAAACUGGGGGGCUUGAGUAUGUUUGAGGCAGGCGGAAUGCGUGGUGUAGCGGUGAAAUGCUUAGAUAUCACGCAGAACCCCGAUUGCGAAGGCAGCCUGCCAAGCCAUGACUGACGCUGAUGCACGAAAGCGUGGGGAUCAAACAGGAUUAGAUACCCUUGUAGUC